GUUCGCGCUGGUGGAGCACCCCAGCUUGCAGGUUCAGCGUGGGUGUCUCUCCCGGGCACAUCGAGCUGUCUAGAGGAACCCUCUUCCCCUGGCUUCACGGCCCAGAGGACGCACGGCUCUCUCCCCUCGAGAGCGUGUUUCGUCGCCCGCGCGGGGAACGCAAAGUGCUAGGGUAGUCACGGCCACUUCACGCCGAGGGACAUCUCAUCUCGCCCUCCAGGUCGUGAGCGCACCCAUUCCGCUCACUGAGGCCGAAAGCUUCGGACCUCCGUGGGCCCUGGUGGGUAAGGGGGCACGGGGGUGAGCGUUAAGAGACUCGUAGAACAUUUUUAGUCCGCGCGUGGCACAAGGCCUCCAAGCCCCACGUACACUUUGCAGCCCUCCCACUCCUUUUUCAUUCCUGCGGCUGAGCCCUGGUGUUAUCCGCCUGGGGCGGAAUUUAAAACUUAAUUCCUCAACAAAGUCGGGGUGGUCUUUAAACUGCAACCUUGGAUCCAAAGGCCCUACCUUACAAAGGGAAGGCAGUUUGCCCUACAAAAAGGCUUCUGGGAGGAGCUGCCUAAGGCAGGAAGGGACUGGCAGGCCGGGAGGUGCCGCUUUUGGCUGGGGCCAGUUCUCUUGAGGUCGACCCGACUGCAUAGGCAGCCAGUAGGGGAGAGAACGGGCCGGUCUGUGUGAUUUGGAUCACCUGAGUUGCAGUUUCCUAAGAGUUAUUAGGUUGACCAAAAAAAAAAAGUGCAGUUUCUGGAAAACUGGUCAGCUGUUGAGUAAAAACUGCUGGGAUUAAACCCAGCGCCCACCCCUGGAGGCAGUGGGGUCAUCGAGAAAGGUAGGGAUCCUGUGUAAAAAGGCUGGUGAAGUGUUCCUCUCUUCCAAAGAUGUAUGGAUUAGUGUUCUCUCACCAAUCCACUAAGGCCUGGUUCUGCCCAGCCUCCCUUGCUACAUCCCCUGGGAAUCCCCAAGUGGAGUGUGGGCAAAGAAAAAAAAAGGCCAACUUCCCUCCCUGGGCCCCAGGAGGGAGCUGACAUAGAAAAGAUCACCUCCUGCACCUCCCUUUCUCCACAAUGAGAUACCAAGUAGCAACCACCUCUCAACCCCCAGGGACACAAGGAAGCAUCCAGAGCAGCUGAACUGACCUAAGCCUCUCCUGCACCUGGACAGGGCCAUGCCACAGGAAGUGCCUGGCUGUUUAAGGGCCAGCCGGUGCAGCUCCGGGGCACCCAAGUCCUGCACCUAUUCAUUGCCCCCCUCCCUGCUCUGUGGUUCCCCAUCCUUGUCCACUUUGACCUCAGGGAUCUACCAGCCAAAGGAGAUUGGGUCUUCCUCCAGGGAAGCUUCUCACCAACUAGACAGCUCGGAGAGCAAUCUGAGGAUCCCACUGGAGGUUGAGUCCCUUGCUUUUCAAGCACCUAAAAUGCACCCAUCCUUCCCACUGGUUCCACAAUUUGUAUAGAGCACAGAUGCUGGCAUGAACUUAGGCCAGUUCAACAAAGAUGUAUCAAAUGGGGCAGCAGUGAGAGAUACUCUGUUGAGAGGACUCAUUGGUCUGGUGCUUCCUCUGUUACCUCAUCUUGCCCGUCUCUAAGGCAGAGCAAGCACAACAAAGAGGUGCUCAGAGCCAGAAGUGUCCCUGCUCCCAUGACCCACCAUACUUGGCCUAAUACAGAGCUUGACAAGCAAAGGACCCACUCUCUGGAACUUCCUAGGGAAUGCCUUACUGAUUUGUCUUAAAAUACACAGCCCCGCUCCAGAGCCUAUGACUCUAGAUACACCCCCCAGCCUGACGUGGGCCACGUGGGCUCCUUGGGGCAGACAGCCAAUCCUCUGCUCAACACAUUUUAUUGCUAAGGACAAGGUGAUGCACCAGUUUUCAAAAUAAUUUGGUUUAUAGUGUUCAUACGUAACAAAAAAGGGGAAGUAUUAUAAAUCUGAUUCUUGUAUACACAGGGUAUUGGUGUGAAGCCCUCCAAUCCUGGGCCCAGGCAAACAAAUUCUUGAGGAGCAAAAACCUGUUUAACCCCUUCAGUAUUGCCCUCUAGUCCCACCCCCCACCCCAAAAUCAGCUCCCUCCCACCUACAGUGGGCCUCCAAUGGCCCCAGUUUUUUCAUCCUAACCCUCCCAGCCCCUGCAUGAUUGCAAUUUUCUGUUGACAGAAUCACCCACCAGGCUCUGCCUGCUUCCAUCAUUAAAAUCCCCGAUUCAGGGUAAUCCCCACCCACACCCUGUAAUACUUUGCCACAGGGGCUCUGCACCUAGAGUGUUGUGGGCACACACCCAUGUUAUCCCCAUGUUCUCCUUUAGGGGAAGACAAAGAGGUGGCAUCAGCUCCUUAGCAUCUCAAUACUGCAGCUUUGCCAGCACUGUCUUGAGACGGUUCCAGGCCUGGACAGAUGCCACACCCAUCUCCAGCCAACCCCCAGGAGCCCUUACUCAGCUCAGCUGAGGGCAGAAUUUCACAUUUUGUUUGCCCUGCAUAGGCAAGGAAGAAAGUAAAGGCCAGGGGCUGGCAGAAGCUGGUCCAGACCAAACAUACACGCACGCACGCACGCACGCACACACACACACACAUAUAAAUACAAAAGUAGGGGUUGGGGCAAGUACCAGCACCUCAGCCUAGUCGGUGCAGGUGAUAGUUAUGAAGCUAAGUCCUAGGCCAGGAACAAGGCAGCCAGUCCAGCCAGCAUAGUUGACCCCUCUAUGGACUGGGGCCAGUGCAGCCACAGCAUUCCAGUGCUCAGCCCCUCAGCUGGGAGAUCAGCGACUGCUGCCACGUGCCCAGAAAUGGCUCGUCCUUUCACUACAGCGGAAUGCAAUGAGGGUGGGUGAGAAGAUGAUGGGUCGGUUAUUUCAUUCCUUUUCUUUUUACAACUUCACUUUCAGAGACUUCAGCGUUCCAUGUCUGCUGUGCUGUGGAACCCAGAGUGCUCUUGCCUGGAUGGCUGAGAAUCCCUUGGACCCUGGAAGCACCUACUCCAUGAUGGCCCGCAGGAGGACCAAACUGGAGACAGUCCUGGCUCUGAGGAAACAGGAAGGAAGGAGGGUGAAAGGAACGUCCACCUGCACACAAAGGUAACUGUCCUCUACUCAGGGAAGAGUGAACCAGGACAAAGUAACUGUUUUAGAGAGCAAGGCAGCUCUCUGGGCUGAAAAAUGUUAACAGUUAAAGACCUUGCUAAGUCAAAGUCUGCCCCUAUCUCUGCCCUCUCCUGCUUCUAGGUGACCAAAAAAAAAAAAAAAAUCCAGCUAUAACAAACUUAGUAAACACAGGAGUUAAGUGCCAGAAUCAAGAGUCCUUCUUACAUUCCCUCAACUGUUCCCCUGCGGGUUCUCCAGGGCUCUGCCAUGAAGAAAUACUAGAACCAUACUCAACUAUAAGACAUGUGUUUUUUUUGGCCAGGCACGGUGGCUCAUGCCUGUAAUCGCAGCACUUUGGGAGGCUGAGGCAGGCAGAUCACCAGGUCAGGAGAUCAAGACCAUCCUGGCUAACAUGGUGAAACCCCAUCUCUACUAAAAAUGCAAAAAAUUAGCCAGGUGUGGUGGCAGGCGCCUGUAGUCCCAGCUACUCGGGAGUCUGAGGCAGGAGAAUGGUGUGAACCCAGGAGGCGGAGCUUGCAGAGAGCUGAGAUCACGCUGGAAUACAGUGGCCUGAUCUUGGCUCAUUGCAACCUCAGCCUCCUGGGUUCUAGCAAUCCUCCUGCCUCAGCCUCCCGAGUAGCUGGGACAACAGGCACGUGCCACCAUGCCCAGCUAAUCUUUGUAUUUUUAGUAGAGACGGGGUUUCACCAUGUUGGCCAGUCUGGUCUCGAACUCCUUACCUCAGGUGAUCUGCCUGCCUCGGCUUGCCAAAGUGGUGGGAUUACAGGCAUGAGCCACUGUGCCCAACCAAGAAAUAUGUUCUUAACAGGAAAGAUGAAAAAGAGUCACCUACCAUGGGACCUGGCAAAGUACUUCAGAACUUUUAUUCCUUCCAGAAGCAGGUAAGUACCCCAAGUCCUCAUCGUAUUCCCAGCAUAGGGCUUGGUAUACGGGGGGAUAUUUCAUUCAGCAUAUUGGCUGAAUGAAAGGUCUGAUAGGUAUACCUGGGAGAAGGUCCUUAGGGACAUGGCUUAAAAAAUGAGAGAGGGGCAGGGCAGUGAGUCUAAAAGGAUGUGGAUGCUCACAUCUGCUCUUACAAUCAUGCUACAGUUCAUUUAUUGAGUGGAAACAGUUCCCUACUUAUUGACAAUUCAUUUACUGAAUAGGUAAUCAGUAAAUACAUUUUGUAUCAAUCUAACAAUUAGGCAUAAACUACAGCCUCCUACACCCAAUAUCUGAGGUGUUCUAAGAUUUAACUACUCAAAUGUUUGAUAUUUGAUAAAUUGUUUAAGUUCUCUGCAAUUCAGUUCCACCUCCUAUAACAGCACUUCUGAAAAUGUGGUCUGUGAACCUCUGAGGGGUUCCUGAGACACUGUCAGGGAGCAAGUGAGACAUGGCUAUUUUUAUAAUAUUAAACUAUUAGCCUUUGUCACUGUGUUGUCAUUUACCUAGGAUAGGUACAACUGCUGGCACCUGAGCACAGAUCAAGGCACUGACCCUAAGCUCUACUAGUUGUUAUUGCAUUUUUCACCACUGUACACUCAUAAUUUAGGAGAAAAGAGCAAAAACUCUAGAUUGCAUGUAACAAUAUCCCUUGAUGAAGCAGUAAAAAAUUAUUAAUGUUGUUAAAUCUUA
rnacentral:lncRNA from 1 species